UGGAAAUCCUUCCCCGUCCCAACCCCAAAUUUAAAAGGAACAUUACCUGGUUGGGUCUAAAUUCCGCAUAACUUGUUUGCUGUUGACUUUGACCCGGAGGUCGAAGAAAUGGUACCCUUUGCUGCUGUGAAUUGUACCCCAGACACUGCCCCAGGGCUGCCCCAAAGAUCCACAGCCAACCCGCGCUGCGGGCGCACCGCCUCGCUGCAGGGGGCAUGCUGGUCCCUGCGUCCUGCCUGCCGGCUGCGCGCCGUCCUCUGCCUCUUCCUCUUAUACCUGCCCUUCCUGCUCGGUGCCCGGGCCUGCCUGACUCAGGCCAUGAAUCAAGAUGUCCUUAAUUUAAAUCGGCACCAACUGCAACUGUCGCUUCCUGCCCCACGGGUCAUGUUCUGAUACAUACGGUGAGCUGCACAUCCGGCUGCUUUCCCAGGAGAACCAUGUCACCAGAAAAUAUUCCUGAAAGCAGAUGGUGAAUAUUUCCCAAGUGUUUUUGAAUUUCGCUGGUAUGGAAGCCAUGCCCAGCUGCUCUAGUAGGAUAUGGACCUUCUCUCAGUGCCACAGAAGCAGCAUGAUCGUGCUGGGGACGUGGAGCUGAGUGGACACGGUUCUCUGACAGUUGCUUCACCUCUGGCCCUGAUACCUCCAGCCUUAAAGACAAGACCAAUCAAGAAGGAAGGAGUGACCAAAGGACGGAAAUCAGAGACAAGAUCAGCUCAAAUUAGACAGAAUGAAAUACCCUAUGGAAAAUGCCCACCACUUGGAGAAGAGGGGAAGAGGCUGCUCUUCUGGGAUCCCCGUCAACAGAAGCUUUUCCCUGGAAUCUGUUAUCUGGCAAAGCCUCACGGAGCUAUGAACUUCGAGUCUGGAGGUAUUCUAAGGUGACAUCUUGAAUCGUCCUAUUCAGAUUAAGUAUUGCCUUUUUGAUGGGCUCAGGUGCAUUUAAAAAUAUGCCCACAAAUUCUUUGUACUCUGCCUUCAAGAGAUGGAGCCUAAUUCUCCUCCCCUUGAGUGCAGGCUGCAUUUAGUGAUUCACUUCUAAUGAACAGAAUAAGGGAGAAGUGAGAGUAUGUCAGUUCUGAAAUUAGCUUAUAAGAAGAUUGAGGCUUCAUCUUGAGCUAGUGCACUCACUCCCUCUCUCCACCCCACCCCAUCAGUUGCUUUGGGGGAAGCCAUCCCAUGUCAUGAGGGCCCUCAGGUAACCCGUGGAGGGUCUCAUGUGAUGAGGAACUGAGGCCUCCAGCCAACAGCUGGCAAGGAGCAGAGGUCUGCCAACAACCGCGUGAGCCAACUUGGAAGUGGAUCCUCCAGUCCCGGGUGGCUGCAGCCCUGGCUGACGGCAACCUCAUGAGAGACUCCGGGCAUGUCCUCCUGAAUUCCUGAUCCACAGAAACUGUGCAAGAAAAUACCUGUCAUUGCUGUAAGCUGCAAAGUGUUGGUGUAGUUUGUUACAUGGUAAUAGAUGAUCAGCACACGGGCUAACCGUGUAGAGGUGAAGAGGAGUAUGAAGUGAGGGACAGGUGGGUCACAGGAGAGAAGCAACAUGCCCCACACUCAGAUGUCAAAACCGACAGCCUUCCACCCAGAAGACACAGUCGGAGACCUCAGGCGACAAGGCCCUAAUAUUCAGUUAUUCUAAACAUGAGAAUGCAGCAUCGCCUGAGCUGGGCUCUGUGAACACAGCUAUUCUCAAAAGUUCUCUGCUUGCUAAGAAGCAUGUGUCACCGGCUGGAGUUUCCACGCAAGACCUGCAUUUCUGUCCUCAUAAAAUGGGCAGAGUGGGCCAGGCUCUGGAAUAAUACUUCAUGCAGCAAAGGAAGAGCACCUGGUUUACGAGGUCCCUGAGGAGUGUGUAACUAAAGGCGCACGAUUCUGCUUGUGGAGGCGGAACUGCCACCGGAUGCCGUGUGUCUUUUAAUAAGCUUAUGAGUCACUUUUCGGCUUUUGUCUUCUGACAGGGAGCCUUUCUUCUGCUUUAAAACAAAGAAUUCUCAGCAUUGGCAUUAAAAGCAUACAUGUCCCAUUUGCAACAGAUAUUAUUUAAAUGGCAUUUCCCUGGAGGAAAAUUCUUUGGCAUUAAGUAAAAAUGGGAAAAAAACCACUGUGUGCUUUUCCUUUGCUGGUGGCUCACACGUGCGGCCACACGAGGCUCCUGCUCGGCCCCUCACAGCGAGGUCUCUUCUUCAUUUUUAGUUCUCCUAAUUCCUAAAAUGUUAGUAACCUGAACUGCCUGACGCGUAUGCUCAUGUGACAGAGACCCACAGAGGGCUCAGAGGAGCGACAGGACGUCAUUACCUUGUCCCCCAGGUAGGAGGGAGGUGCCACCCAGGACGCGCUGCGGACUGUUGCGGGCAGCUCCUGCAGGUCUGCCACCACGCUGUUGCUGCCGGGGUUGAAGGACACGGGGACGUCCACUCUGUCUGCCGUCUCCAGGCGCCAGCCCAUCAUAUCCACGAACUGGAACAGGAAAGCAAGGGAUGGAAACGUGGUGGUGGCUUCCUUGGCGAUGGCUGAAUUAUGUCACUAGAAAGAUUCGUGGGGCCGCCACCUGCUUCAAGGGCCUCCUGGAUGUGUCUCCUCUGUAGCCUGCUCCCUCGGGCUCGCAGGACGGAGCCCCCGUCUGACCCAUCGCCACCGGAGUUCUCAGAGGGCAGUGGCCGUAUCCCAGCACACAUCCUGGUUCUUGACGAUUAGUAGGCAUUCAAUGAGUGUUCAAAGUAUAAAUAAAUAAGUGUAUGAGUAAUAACUAGGGCUGUGGGCACAUUUUAACAGCGGGCUCCUUAUAGAGAAAAAUGUGAUAAAAAAUACAGUGGCCCGCUAUUAUUAUUUUUCUCUCAAUGGAACAUCAAAAUUAAAUCUUUCCCUGAUCACAAAGGAAGCCAGUUAAUUUCGAGGAAAGAAAAAGGAAGAACUCAUCAGGCAUAGGUUGGAAUAGAUGCUUUCUGAUUCCCGGGGUUGUCGGGGAGGUAAGGACAGGAGACUUCAGAGCGAUUUACAAAUUAAUUUUUUUG